GACAGCGGGAACAGCCCGAGGAAUGCUAACGCGCUCUGUGCAGCCUCCGAGCCAGGCAGACACCCAGCGGCCUCUCUGCUUCCUUCCCCACCCGCCGCGUGACCUUGACGGUGUCCCAGGGCUCAGUCCCGGGAAGGAGGCGCUGCUGCCAGGGGCGCAGGGAGAAAAAGGGGCCUGGAGACUGGAUUGAAAGAACCCUUGAACAAGGAAGUUUGAAGAAUCUUCAGGAUUAAUUAAGUAACCCAGCCUUGACCUAGCAGCAUUGGGACAUAUGAGCAACUGAAGCCUGCUGACCUCAUGCCUCUGUCCAGAAGCAACUGAUGACUAUUGCCUUAGGCGAAUGCGGACCACCCAGCAGCCUAACGGACCAUACUCCACCCAAAACGUUUACGUAUUACCACAAGCCUGGCUGAUAAACCAGAAAGCUAAGUGAGACACCUGAAGGGUUAAGUCCUGAAGAAUAGCAAAAGAAUAUUGUCACACACGUUUCAACUUCAGCUCCCCAUUAAUUUAUAAAUAUGAAAAUGCCUUUUUUGUUAUUCUCUGUGGGAAAAUCCUUGUUACAGUUCUUGCUAGAGCUCUUGUCGGCCCUAGUCUGGAACCCCAUAUGUAAGAUGCAUUUUUAAUAACCUCUUUUAUUUUUUAUGGAGAUCCCUUCUUCACUUUUCAGCCUUAGCUUUUGCCUCAGUGUAGGUGGUAUUACAUUUCUGUCAACAUUCAGACGAUAGGAGGACAGGGUUUUGACUGGAGAUUUACUGUGCAAAGCUCAGAAGAUAACCUUAGUAAUUGAGUUACACAUAACAGUAACCUAUAUGAUCCAAUUAUAGUCUUGACCUCCCAGAUUCCUUUGCACUAAAGUGAAAAACUCAUAACCAUUACAUUCGAAAAUGUCAUGUUGCAGGAAUGUUUAAAAGAGAUAUUAGAGGAGAAAUUAACACAAUACAGGAAGUAGCAAUAGAACUUUACUCCAAGGAAAUCCAGGAAAUUUCCUUUUUGACAUGAAGAAUGAUGGGGGAGACAGGACAAUUGGGAAGGGAGCUGUUUCAUUCUAAUUCAUUAAUUAGAAGAAGAGAAAAAAGAGGGUAGAUGAUACUCCAGCCCUGACUAGAGGAACAAAAAUGUACCCUCCCACCACCAGUUCAUAGCAUUGCUGAAAAUUAUUUAGUACAGUGAGGUACUUGAAAAACUUGGAUUUAACCUGUAACCCACAAAAAUUAGGCUUCAAUAUUUUUUAAACAGAUUUCUUCUCCUGUUUAGACACAUUUUCAUAUCUUAAGAAAUUGCCUAUGUACACUUGUCACCAAAACAUCUAAAUUGAGAAAGCUGAGUUGAAUUAUUAAAAAGUAUAUACCGGGGCCAGCGCCAUGGCACAGUAGGUUAAUCCUCCACCUGCGGUGCCGGCAUCCCAUAUGGGCGCCGGUUCUAGUCCUGACUGCUCCUCUUCCAGUCCAGCUCUCUGCUAUGGCCUGGGAAAGCAGCGGAGGAUGGCCCAAGUGCUUGGGCCCCUGCACCCACGUGGGAGACCAGGAGGAAGCACCUGGCUCCUGGCUUCAGAUCGGCACAGCUCUAGCUGCUGUGGCCAUUUGGGGAGUGAACCAAUGGAAGGAAGACCCUUCUAUUUCUCCCUCUCACUGUCUGUAACUCUACCUCUCAAAUAAAUAAAUAAAAAAUCUUUAAAAAAUAAGAAGUAUAUACCACAGGUUUUAAAGAAUGUGUCUGACACUCUGCUCCAGAAAGCAAUCUAUGGAAGAGAUUGAUCGGCAUCCUCUGAAGAGAACAAUUGGGUUGUUUAAUUAUUUUGGCAGUUGAUAAUGUACUCUCUUGAGACACUAUUUUUAGAAGCCUUUUCAAUGGAUAUUUAAGUUGUUUUAGUUCAAUAUCACGUUUAUACUUCACUCAUCCAAGCUCAUUGCGAGCAAAAGGCACUUAUACUUCCUCAGGUUUGUGUUGCACAGAGAGCCCAUACCUAGAAGUGCUAGGUGCUCAGUCACCAGAUAAAUGCUUGGAUUGCUCGACUUGGAAGAUUCUAACUACCCAGAAAGUCAGAUUUUUGCCACUCUAGUGACUUCCUGAUUUGAUUUAUUUAUUCAUUAUUGUUUCUAAAUAUCAAACUUACAGACCUAUUUUAAUGAUUAAGGGAGGCUGUUGUCCAAGGAACAUUUCUUUUUGGAUGUAAUCAGACAAUAAAUAGUGAAGCCCUGAAUCAUUGCCAUUGACUUUGAUGUAUAAUACGGGUAUGCCUUCCAGUAUGCUGGACCCCCUCCCUUCUCUUAACUGUGUGACUUGUAUUGGUGUCUCUGAAAUAACUCAUAAUUUUGAGAUACACAUAUUAUUGUGUCCUAAUGGUUAAUGAAAUACAUCUUAGUUUAUCUUUGUUGUGGGAAAAAAAAAAAGAGAUUUACUUAUUUGAAUGGCAGAGUGACAGAGAGAGGAGAUACAGAAAGAAGCCUGGAAGUCCAUCUAGGUUUCCCAUGUGCCUAUCAGGAAUCCAAGCACUUGGGCCAUUUUCCACUGACUUCUUGGUGCCUUUAGUAGGGACCUGGGUUGGAAGCAGAUCACCCAGAACACCAACAAGCACUCUGAUAUGGGAUAUUGGCAUUGCAAGCUGCAGGGUAACCCAUUGCAUCACAAUGCCAGCCCUGGUAAAGCUCAUGUAGGUACUUUCUCUACUGCAACAUUGCUGACUUCAUUUAUCAAAGUGCUUAGCAAAUAUGUUUUUGCAGCUGUUGAUAAUAAAACUCUAGAGCUGUAUGUUCAAAUUAAUAAGUUAUGAAUUAACAAUGCCAGAUUUACUAUUUUUAUUAAAAUUUAGAUCAUCUUUUUUAUCCCAAGCCAGAGCAUUAUAAUUAGAAUGAUAAACAAGGUGGCUACCCAAAUUUA